rnacentral:rRNA from 1 species
GAUAGGGACAGUUGGGGGCAUCAGUAUUCUGAAGCGAGAGGUGAAAUUCUUGGACCUUCGGAAGACUAACAGCUGCGAAAGCGUUUGCCUAGGAUGUUCUCUUUAAUCAAGAACGAAGGUUGGGGGAUCGAAGACGAUCAGAUACCGUCGUAGUCUCAACUGUAAACUAUGCCAGCUAGGGAUGGGUGGAUGUUUAAUUACGACUCCAUCCGCACCUUAUGAGAAAUCAAAGCAUUUGGGUUCCGGGGGGAGUAUGGUCGCAAGGCUGAAACUUAAAGGAAUUGACGGGAGGGCACCACCAGGAGUGGAGCCUGUGGCUUAAUUUGACUCAACACGGGAAAAUUUACCAGGACCAGACAUACCGAGGAUUGACAGAUUGAUACCUCUUUCUUGAUUCUAUGGGUGGUGGUGC